rnacentral:lncRNA from 1 species
GAAAUGGGAAUUACCCCCAGGAAUGUCAUGCUGGGGUAAGGACAGGGUGCCAGGUGGAGCUUGUUUCCUGGAAAGAGAUUUCACACAGUUCUACAACCUGUUAGUCUCCUGACAGGUAUGAUAAGACUGAAGCCCAGACAACAAAUGGGUCUGGAGUGGGCAGAACCACACCUUGACUGGAACUGCUUAAAUGUGCAGAUCCUUGGCCCUCUGUUUAAACUUUGAUUUUACCUGAGGACCCUGAAGAUGAGUGUCUUGAAGAUGGACCUGGGGGUCUUGCUGAAUCUCUUCAUCCCAUUCACAGUGUGGACACACUGAGUCAUUUGAGAGAGGAAGACACACCCUUCUAUGAGAAAUCCCAUUCUGUGGGCUGCGGUCCCGUGAUGAAUAAAAAGAGAAAGUGAGCACUCAUCAGGGUGAACAGUUCCUCAAGAUCUUGCCGCCCCGACUCCCUGCUACCUUGGACCGCGUGUACCCUCAAACUGUGAGCCCAAUAAACUCUUCCUUCCUU